AUAACUGAGAAAGUGGAGAACAAUCUACUUUCCCCACGCGAUCAAGUCUUGGGAGGAUGCGAUCCAGGCGCGGUAAUUCGCUGCCGCCGGAAACGGAUAACGGGUCGGGCGCGUUUAAUUGCAAGGCUUCGUGCCUUGCAUUUUUUU
rnacentral:sRNA from 1 species